AGCGCAGGCGGUUUCUUAAGUCUGAUGUGAAAGCCCCCGGCUCAACCGGGGAGGGUCAUUGGAAACUGGGAAACUUGAGUGCAGAAGAGGACAGUGGAACUCCAUGUGUAGCGGUGAAAUGCGUAGAUAUAUGGAAGAACACCAGUGGCGAAGGCGGCUGUCUGGUCUGCAACUGACGCUGAGGCUCGAAAGCAUGGGUAGCGAACA
rnacentral:rRNA from 1 species